UACGUAGGGGGCAAGCGUUGUCCGGAUUUAUUGGGCGUAAAGAGCGUGUAGGCGGCCAGGUAGGUCCGGUGUGAAAACUCGAGGCUCAACCUCGGGUCUGCAGUCGAUACGAGCAAACUAGAGUGUUGCAGGGGAGACUGGAAUUCCUGGUGUAGCGGUGAAAUGCGCAGAUAUCAGGAGGAACACCCGGUGGCGAAGGCGGGUCUCUGGGCAACAACUGACGC
rnacentral:rRNA from 1 species